rnacentral:rRNA from 1 species
UACGUAGGGGGCAAGCGUUGUCCGGAAUCAUUGGGCGUAAAGCGCGUGUAGGCGGCCAAGUAAGUCCGUUCUGAAAGCCCGGGGCUUAACCCCGGAAUUGCACCUCAAACUAUAUGGCUAGAGCAUUGGAGAGGGUAGCGGAAUUCACGGUGUAGCAGUGAAAUGCGUAGAUAUCGUGAGGAACACCAGAGGCGAAGGCGGCUCUCUGGACCGAUACUGACGCUGAGGCGCGAAAGCGUGGGGAGCAAACAGG